rnacentral:rRNA from 1 species
UACGUAGGCCGACGCAUUAUCCGGAAUUAUUGGGCGUAAAGAGCGUGUAGGUGUUCCUACAAGUCGGUCGUUAAAUCUCAGAGCUCAACUCUGAGGCCGCGAGCGAAACUGUAGGAAUUGAGGUUUACAGGGGCAAGCAGAAUUUCUGGAGUAGGGGUGAAAUCCGUUGAUACCAGAAGGAAUACCAAUGGCGAAGGCAGCUUGCUGGGUAAUACCUGACACUGAGACGCGAAAGCGUGGGGAGCAAACGGG